AAAUAAAACGCUUCAGAAGCGUUAAACUAGAGGGGAUUUCGUGAGAGAGAAAAAAAUCGAGAAAACGCUGAGCAAUGCUUACGCCAACAGCGACAACGCUUAUGCCGCCAUCGAUGAUGCUAGAUGCGACCAAGAGAGGUAUCUCCGACACUAGCAGUUUCACGGCGUUCCUAUUAGUGCACGCGAUUGAGAUGACGAGGGAGAAAGGAUGAAGAAUAAGCGAAAAGAGACGGAAAUGAGAUGCUUCCGCCGGCUGGGCGGCGGAGCACGACGGCGUGGGGCUCUCUCCCUCUUUUUAUUUUUCUGAUCCUGUUUUGUUUCUCUCUCUUUUGAUGUGUGAGCAGAUUUGGAUACUAGAUGGCUAAAUAUAUACCAAAGAAAUCAACAAUAGAGGAGCAGAAAUUAUAUACCAGAUUGUGUAGCCUCAGUUGCUUUGAUUUUCUUGGCCUCUGUCAUUGAGCUUUUCUUCUUCCUCUUCACUCAAAUUUUGAUUUUUAAUUUCUUUCCAAUUUUCUUUCUUUUUCAGAUUUCCAGGCCCCCCGUUUCUUGUCUGUUGUCAUGGUAUUUACAGGUUCAUUGUGUUAAUGUUGCUUGAGGUCACCAGAACAAUAUGGUUACUUGUAGAAGCAAUUAGUACCAUUAUGUCUUUCAGCUUUGAUUAAGGGACUUGGGUGAUUACAGAAGCCAUCUGACUAGUUUGCAUCAUUGGUUUGAUCAAGAGAUAAAUUUGCAGAAAGGGCUGAGAGAAAGAAGACCACCGAGUGCCUUUGCAAAUCCCGCAUCAACAACUGCAAGAGUAUUUACAUAUGAAGAAAUUUUAGAUGCUACAACAGACUUUAACCUAGAAGGUUUGCUAGGUCGAGGGGUUUUUGGCUCUGUGUACAGAUGCCAACUUAGGAACGGCCAGGUAAGUUGUGUUUGCUACUAAAAUGAUUUUGUAUUCACUUCAAUUCUUCGUGUGAUCAAUAUUCUACAUUGUGUGUGACCAUAUCUCUCAUUUUAAAAUCAUUUGGGCUGGAAUCAUCCAAUAAUGUCCAUACAGGAAGUUGCUGUGAAAUAGCUUGACCCAAGUAGCAAACAAGGAGACAAAGAAUUUAGGCAGGAUGUUAACUUGCUGUCUUCCUUAAAUUACCCAAAUUUUGUGAAAUUGAUUGGUUAUGCCAUUGGGGUCUUUGGACCAUCAUAUAUAGGGUUAGAUUGCAUUCUUUAAUUUUUUUUCCAUUUUAUACAUGUAACAAAUUAAGUCUGAGGGAGCCUGUUUGUGUAGAUCAUGAAAAGGAACACCUUGACUUGAGAACAAGGAUGUUGAUAGCAUUUGGUGUAGCAAAGGGAUUGAGGUAUUUGCACAAGAAGGAAGUGAUAUUUAGAGACCUCAAAUAAGCCAACAUCCUCAUGAAUGAGGGUUAUCGUCCCAAGUUGUCAGACUUUAGGACAACAAUUUAUCCUGAUUGUGAAGUAUACAACGAAGUGGGAACCUUUAGUUAUAUGGAUCCCAACUAUGUCAAUAUUGGCCUAGUAACGUUCAGUAGUGAUGUCUACAGUUUUGGAAUGGCAUUGCUGGAACUUCUCACGGGGCAUAAGGUUAAUGAUAGCAAGCGUGAAGGAGGGCAACAAAAUCUUAUUUUGUGGGUAAGUAAGUUAUUAAUAUUAAUUUGAAUAUAAGGUUAUUCUAAAUUAAUGAUGUCUACAGUUUUGGAAUGGUAUUGCUGGAACUUCUCACAGACUCUGCAUCUCCACAUUUUUAAGAAAGGGUUCUUAAGAAGAGGUCGUGCCUAAUUCCAAAACCACAUAAAACAAUAGUUUAGAACAACCUUAUAAGAUUAUGUUGCCCUUUUUGUGGGGUUGUGAGGAUGGGAGAGAGAAAAUAACAUGGGUGAGUUGGAAAAAAAAUUUCUCUCCAAAGGGACAUGGGGUAAAAGACAUCAUUUUUCAAUAUUGUUUUCUUGGCUAAAUGGACAUGGUAUUUAUUUAACAAUAGAGGUGACCUUUGGAAUAAAGUGCUUGAGUCAAAAUAUUUCGGGUGGAUGGGUUUGGGGGAAGGAGGGGCUAGAUCCUUGGGAGUCCAUUUGGUGGAGAGAUUUGAAAUUAGUAUGUGGGGGAGACAAGACAAGUGGUUUGGGGAUUUAAUUGAGUGGAGGGUUGGUGAUGAUAAAAAUAUUAGAUUUUGGGAAGAUAGACGAGUUAGUGAUUUGUCUCUUCAAAAUUCGUUUUUGAGAAUUUUCUCAAACUCGGGAAAAAAGGAGCGGUGGUUGGGAAUAUGGGGGAGUGGAGAGAUGGUAAGUGGGAAUGAGAUUUUGUGUGGAGAAGGGAGUGGUUUGAAUGGGAAAAAAGUAUGGUCGAGGACAUUUGGAGGGUGUUUGUGUUGGUAAUGGAGGGGAAGAUAAUUGGAUUUGGUUAGGGGAUGGUUCAAAUUCAUACACAGUUAAUUCGACAUACAAUAUUUUGUAUGGCACAAGGUUUGAUUCGUCCGAGGUUGACAUUUUAAAAACUUUGUGGGAAAUUAGAAUCCCCCAAAGGUAUCAUUUUUGUUGUGGAGAAUAUUUUUGGAUAGGAUCCCAACAAAAGUGAACCUACAAAAGAGACAAAUCCAACUUCAUGGACAAUAUUUAUUGUGUGCAUUUUGUAAAGAGGUGCCAGAGGAUUUAUCUCGUUUGUUCUUUGCUUGUCCAAUCUCACACAACAUUUGGAAGCGUUGGUAUCACAUCAUGAGAUUAAAUUCUACAUUGCCUCACUUAGCAAUAGAUCAUUCUUGGCAACAUGCACAUAGAUUGGUUGGGAGAAAAGCUAAUGGUUGGUGGGUGGUGUACCAUCAUUUGGAUCUUAUGGAGCUAAUGCAAUGAAAUUGUGUUUGAAGGAAAGGAAUUAUUGUGAGAAAGUUCAUGUGGAAUAAAAUUAUAUAUGUUUUACGUUUGCUCAUGCUUGAAGGCAUUUCAACGAGAUUUUUCUAUCACUUAUCAACUACAGCAAAUUGACCUUAGAGCUUCUUUUGCAAAUUUUAAAUUCAUAGGAUGAUUUAUUAUAACUACUGGUUUGUAUUGCUGAGAGGUGAUGUAUCUUUCUCUAUGUAGUUAUAGUUUGUAUAUAUUAAGAUUCAGCUCCUCAUUUGAUUUAGCUGUAUUUUUUGUUUGUUUUGGUUCACAUUGUCAGUUUAGGCAAUGUUAACAGAACUUAAGAGAUGUAAAUAUUGCUUAUGCACUUCUUGUGCUUUUUAAUAUAAUUUUCAUUGUAAAUAAAAAAAA